UUGUCCAAAAAAGUCACACAACUGAGAGAAUUACUCCGUUUUAAAAAUACUAACUAUUCUUAUAACUUUUUGAACGGCAAUUGUUUGGGAAUCAAACUGCAAGGGAUUAUUAUUUCCUUGGUUUCGUCAAAAACACUGAUUACUUAUAUGGAUUUAGUGUGAAUUUCCUCUCAACGAAGUUGCAAGGCCCUUCGGAUUCAGGUCACAUCCACUCGCAUUCCCAUGUGCAAAUGCAAACAUACUCCAGUUGCAGCAGCCUCACGCCUCAUUUCAUCCACGUAAAAGUGGCCGCGAGAUCGGGACAGAAAUGGCAGAGGAACUCGAGUCAGGAGAAGAUAGAGUGGAGAUUAUUUUUAAAUGCAGAGCCGGACGGACGAUUGACCGAAAGACCAGGCAUCCGGGCAUCCGGGCAGCAGGGAAUCCGGACAGCAGGGAAUCCGGCGGAGUGGCACGGGUUGAGUCUCCCAGUUGAAUGAACCACACACCGGCACCGAAUAUACAGACAUAUAUAUCUACAUACAUAUAUCGAACAGAUAAUUAUAAUGAGAGCAGAUGGUCUCGCCUCUUCGCACUGAGUUCUAUGUAGUGUAUAUAUUCUGUUGUAUGGAAAAGAUGUCUGGCCAAGGUGGUAAACUCAUGAAAUACAAAUAAAAGCCAAGAUAUAUUCCAAAAUAAUAAAGAAUAACUCUAUGACAAUAAUAUUUAAGAAGUUCAUUGCGCAAAUACCUAGUUUUCCAUCAUUCAUGACCAUCAAAAAUGGCAGACAAUGAAUAGCAAUUAAGUGUUCGAAUUUCCACCGACUGGAGGAGCGGAAAUGUACAACAAAACACGGAUAACGGAUAACGUGGAGGGGAAAAUGCAGGUCAGACAAGUGAAUUAGAAACAAAGCAAUGGCAAAUAAACUGCGACAGCGAAGCGGAAGUGGAUUUAGAUAAAGUCAGUAAACAACAACGCAAAUAAUGUUAUCACAGUAAGUGCGAAAUGUACAAAAUACGAAACACGAAAUAAGAAAUUCGAAAUAUAUUCAAAUAAAAGCGAAUACCCAGA